UACGAAGGUGGCAAGCGUUGUUCGGAUUUACUGGGCGUACAGGGAGCGUAGGCGGUUGGAUAAGCCCUCCGUGAAAUCUCCAGGCUUAACCUGGAAAGUGCAGAGGGGACUGUUCAGCUAGAGGAUGGGAGAGGAGCGCGGAAUUCCCGGUGUAGCGGUGAAAUGCAUAGAGAUCGGGAGGAAGGCCGGUGGCGAAGGCGGCGCUCUGGAACAUUUCUGACGCUGAGGCUCGAAAGCGUGGGGAGCAAACAGG
rnacentral:rRNA from 1 species